AAUGCUGCAGAGAGGAACAGCGGCUACCAAAGUGAUGGUCAUCUCUCCUGGAUCCACAAGAACUAAGACGUAAAAACACAAGCCUACCUCACAGGACUAUUUUAAGAGGUAACCUGCAAGUCUAGCUCACAGUGGCACAUGUGCCUACCUUACAGUUUCAUCCCUAAAUGUUUUUAUUGAUGCAUAUUAUUGAUGCAUAUUGUCAAAAUGUUCUACUGUGCUAGAAUAGUUUCAAAAUGGCCUUAAUGCACAUUUUCAAAAUGUUCUUAAGUUUGUUUUCCAAAUGUUGCCAAUUCUGCAUAUGUUCAAAAUGUUAUUAUGAAAGUAUAUUUUUACAGACAGCAGAGAAUACAUUGCAGAUUACAUAUGUAAAUAUUUUAAGUUGACUUUUGAGGAAAUUUUUAUCUAACUCACAGGGCUAUUUUAAGAGGAAAAACACGAGCCUGUGGGCAUUGUUUUUCCCAAAAUGUGCCAAAGAUGCUUGUAUGCUGAAUGUUCUU